UUUGAGUGAAAUGAAUGAGUAUCGGCGGGUUAAGUAACAACAGAGGUUACCGCCCGUCCAACCGCAACCACACGUCCAACCUCACGCAGUUGGGUUGGGGCCGCGGGCACCAGCCCAACAUGCGUACUUAUGACGGGCCAUGCAGGGCUGAGGACUGCCCGGCCUUGCAGUGCGUGGGCCUGAAGAAGUUUGACGGCGAAAGGGUGUGAGCGGCAAGCGUUGGGGCAGUGGUUGCUUGAUGCGUCGUAAAAUUGACAAAGACAAGUCGG
rnacentral:lncRNA from 1 species